rnacentral:rRNA from 1 species
ACGCUGGCGGCACGCCUAACACAUGCAAGUCGAACGAAGUAGCAAUACUUAGUGGCAGACGGGUGAGUAACAUGUGGGUAUCUACCCUUUGGCCUGGAAUAACACGAGGAAACUUGUGCUAAUACCGGAUAAGUCUUUACGGAGAAAGCUUUAUGCACCAUUGGAUGAGCCCGCACUUGAUUAGUUUGUUGGUGGGGUAAUGGCCUACCAAGACUGUGAUCAAUAGCUGAUUUGAGAGGAUGAUCAGCCACAUUGGGACUGAGACACGGCCCAAACUCCUACGGGAGGCAGCAGUGGGGAAUCUUGCACAAUGGAGGAAACUCUGAUGCAGCGAUGCCGCGUGAGUGAAGAAGGCCCUUGGGUUGUAAAGCUCUUUCGUCGGGGAAGAAAAUGACUGUACCCGAAUAAGAAGGUCCGGCUAACUUCGUGCCAGCAGCCGCGGUAAUACGAAGGGACCUAGCGUAGUUCGGAAUUACUGGGCUUAAAGAGUUCGUAGGUGGUUGAAAAAGUUGGUGGUGAAAUCCCAGAGCUUAACUCUGGAACUGCCAUCAAAACUUUUCAGCUAGAGUUUGAUAGAGGAAAGCAGAAUUUCUAGUGUAGAGGUGAAAUUCGUAGAUAUUAGAAAGAAUACCAAUUGCGAAGGCAGCUUUCUGGAUCAUUACUGACACUGAGGAACGAAAGCAUGGGUAGCGAAGAGGAUUAGAUACCCUCGUAGUCCAUGCCGUAAACGAUGUGUGUUAGACGUUGGAAAUUUAUUUUCAGUGUCGCAGCGAAAGCGAUAAACACACCGCCUGGGGAGUACGACCGCA